GAUGAACGCUGGCGGCGUGCUUAAUACAUGCAAGUCGAACGGAAAGGUCCGGCGCUUGUGGCGUGCUCGAGUGGCGAACGGGUGAGUAACACGUGAGUAACCUGUCCUUGUCUUUGGGAUAACUUCAGGAAAAUGGGGCGAAUAUAGGAGAGGAGAUCCUGAUGCAUGGUGGGGGUUGGUAAGUUCCGGCGGUUGUGGAUGGACUCGCUGCUUACCCGCCUGUUGGUGGGGUAGUGGCUUACCAAGGCUUUGACGGGUAGCCGGCCUGAGAGGGUGACCGGCCUCCAUGGGCCUGAGAUACGGCGCAGACGCCAACGUGAGGCAGAAGUCGGGAAUCUUACACAAUGGGCGGGCGCCUGAUACGGCAACGCCGCGUUCGGGAUGACGGCCUACGGGUUGUAAACCGCUUUCUCCUUUGACGAGGCGUGCGUGACGGUACUUGGUCAGGAAGCACCGGCUAACUACGUG
rnacentral:rRNA from 1 species